UACGGGGGGGGUAAGCGUUGUUCGGAAUUACUGGGCGUAAAGGGCUCGUAGGCGGCCAACUAAGUCAUACGUGAAAUCCCUCAGCUUAACUGGGGAACUGCGUGUGAUACUGGAUGGCUUGGAUUUGGGAGAGGGAUGCGGAAUUCCAGGUGUAGCGGUGAAAUGCGUAGAUAUCGUGAGGAAGACCAGUGGCGAAGGCGAUUCUCUGGGCAAUUCCUGACACUGAGGCACGAAGGCCAGGGGAGCAAACGGG
rnacentral:rRNA from 1 species